GUCAGGUUGGGCAAUACAUGAUAUGUCAUCAAUCGAGAUUAUAUAAGGCCUUAAUGAUAAGAGACUAAAGUGUAUAUAUUUGUCUGUAUAUGGAAAAAAAAUCAUGUUUUUGUUCUGUUCCUAUUUUUUGUUUAUUCUUUUUGUUGUCUGAUAUUUAGUUAAUUGUAUGUAUUCAUUGUAUCUCAAUUAUGAGGAAAUAAAGACAUGAAUGAAUGAA
rnacentral:lncRNA from 1 species